UACGGAGGGGGCUAGCGUUGUUCGGAAUUACUGGGCGUAAAGCGCACGUAGGCGGCUUUGUAAGUUAGAGGUGAAAGCCCGGGGCUCAACUCCGGAACUGCCUUUAAGACUGCAUCGCUAGAAUUGUGGAGAGGUGAGUGGAAUUCCGAGUGUAGAGGUGAAAUUCGUAGAUAUUCGCAAGAACACCAGUGGCGAAGGCGGCUCACUGGCCCGGUACUGACGCUGAGGUGCGAAAGCGUGGGGAGCAAACAGG
rnacentral:rRNA from 1 species